AUCAGUGAGCCCAUAGUAUCCUUCCCCACUCACUUCUCUGUCUUUGACCUCCUUUAGGAUCCAUAUGUAAUACUCACGUGUGCAUAAGGCCUGUCAUGCACCCAUAGGAAUGGUUAACACUCGCUCCCAUCUUCGAAGUAUGAUGUGGACUUGUGGUUUAUCUAAUCCAAAUUCAUACUUAAACUGCUCCAUGUCAGACCGGAGUGGUAUUACCUGAGUUUUCCCAAAUUGGCGGAGUACUCGAAGAGGAGUGUAUGGUUGCACGCCUUUUAAG
rnacentral:lncRNA from 1 species